rnacentral:rRNA from 1 species
AACGAACGCUGGCGGUAUGCCUAACACAUGCAAGUCGAACGACGGCUUCGGCAUUAGUGGCGCUCGGGUGCGUCACGCGUGGGACUCUGCCCUUAGGCUCGGAAUUAUAGUUAGAAAUGACUGCUAAUACCGGAUGAUGACGUCAGUCAAAAGAUUCAUCGCCCGAGGAUGAGCCCGCGUAGGAUUAGCUAGUUGGUGUGGUAAAGGCGCACCAAGGCGACGAUCCUUAGCUGGUCUGAGAGAAAGGUCAGCCACACUGGGACUGAGACACGGCGCAGACUCUUACAGGAUGCAGCAGUGGGGAAUACUGGACAAUGGGCUCGAGCCUGAUCGAGCAAGGCCUCGUGAGUGAUGAAGUCCGUAGAGUUGUGAAGCUCGUUUACCCGUGAUGAUAAUGACAGUAGCGAAAGAAUAAGCCCCGGCUAACUCCGUG